GACGAACGCUGGCGGCGUGCCUAAUACAUGCAAGUUGAGCGCUGAAGGUUGGUACUUGUACCAACUGGAUGAGCAGCGAACGGGUGAGUAACGCGUGGGGAAUCUGCCUUUGAGCGGGGGACAACAUUUGGAAACGAAUGCUAAUACCGCAUAAAAACUUUAAACACAAGUUUUAAGUUUGAAAGAUGCAAUUGCAUCACUCAAAGAUGAUCCCGCGUUGUAUUAGCUAGUUGGUGAGGUAAAGGCUCACCAAGGCGAUGAUACAUAGCCGACCUGAGAGGGUGAUCGGCCACAUUGGGACUGAGACACGGCCCAAACUCCUACGGGAGGCAGCAGUAGGGAAUCUUCGGCAAUGGACGAAAGCCUGACCGAGCAACGCCGCGUGAGUGAAGAAGGUUUUCGGAUCGUAAAACUCUGUUGGUAGAGAAGAACGUUGGUGAGAGUGGAAAGCUCAUCAAGUGACGGUAACUACCCAGAAAGGGACGGCUAACUACGUG
rnacentral:rRNA from 1 species